GUUUCCCUGCCUGGUUCGUGAGGGUCAUAAACUCCUUGAACCGAUAUGCAUUGCAUGGUGCGGGAUCAUGUCGUGUGGGCGAGCGCGUUACCGCAUUCAAAGUCCUGGCUUCGGUCCGGACUCCCUGAGUGGGCGAUGUACCCGAAAUACGACUUCCGCAGCCACUCUGAACCUCACUUGGGUUCAGGAUGCCGACCCAGCGGCCGAGGCGGGGACCCC
rnacentral:other from 1 species